rnacentral:tRNA from 1 species
GCGGUCGUGGCGGAACUGGCAGACGCGCACGCUUGAGGGGCGUGUGGGAGACCGUGUGGGUUCGAUUCCCACCGACCGCACCA